CAAUUUGGUGUGAUCUCACUGUAGUUGAAGACAGCUGUAUUUGUUCACUUCUUUUCGGCAAAGGAGAUUUUAUGGGGAUCAAAGAUUUUGUGGCACACGAAUAUGACUUGGGUUGAUGUGUUGGGGAUCAAAGUUAUGUAUUCUUAGUGUUGUUAGAUGGAUGAUGGACUUGGGUUGUUGAACUUGUAAACUUUGUUGAACAAGAUGGAUCUUGUAUGUAAACUUUGUUGAAAUCUUUAUAUUUCUUGAAUUA